UACGGAGGGUGCUAGCGUUGUUCGGAAUUACUGGGCGUAAAGGGCUCGUAGGCGGCCAACUAAGUCAGACGUGAAAUCCCUCGGCUUAACCGGGGAACUGCGUCUGAUACUGGAUGGCUUGAGUUCGGGAGAGGGAUGCGGAAUUCCAGGUGUAGCGGUGAAAUGCGUAGAUAUCUGGAGGAACACCGGUGGCGAAGGCGGCAUCCUGGACCGACACUGACGCUGAGGAGCGAAAGCCAGGGGAGCAAACGGG
rnacentral:rRNA from 1 species